AGAAACCAACAGGGAUUGCCCUAGUAACGGCGAGUGAAGCGGCAACAGCUCAAAUUUGAAAUCUGGCGCCCGCCCGAGUUGUAAUUUGUAGAGGAUGCUUCAGGGCAGCGGCCGGUCUAAGUUCCUUGGAACAGGACGUCAUAGAGGGUGAGAAUCCCGUAUGCGACCGGUUGGCACCCGUCACGUAGCUCCUUCGACGAGUCGAGUUGUUUGGGAAUGCAGCUCUAAAUGGGAGGUAAAUUUCUUCUAAAGCUAAAUACCGGCCAGAGACCGAUAGCGCACAAGUAGAGUGAUCGAAAGAUGAAAAGCACUUUGGAAAGAGAGUUAAAAAGCACGUGAAAUUGUUGAAAGGGAAGCGCAUGCAACCAGACUUGUCGGCGGCGUUCCGCCGGUCUUCUGACCGGUCCACUCGCCGCCGGCAGGCCAGCAUCAUCUGGGCGCGCCGGACAAAGGCGCGGGGAAUGUAGCUCCUCGGAGUGUUAUAGCCCCGCGCACAAUGCGGCGCCGCUCGGGUGAGGUCCGCGCUUCGGCUAGGAUGCUGGCGUAAUGGUCGUCUGCGGCCCGUCUUGAAACACGGACCAAGGAGUCUAACAUCUAUGCGAGUGUUCGGGUGUCAAACCCCUACGCGUAAUGAAAGUGAACGGAGGUGGGAAGCGCAAGCUGCACCAUCGACCGAUCCUGAUGUCUUCGGAUGGAUUUGAGUAAGAGCAUAGCUGUUGGGACCCGAAAGAUGGUGAACUAUGCCUGAAUAGGGUGAAGCCAGAGGAAACUCUGGUGGAGGCUCGCAGCGGUUCUGACGUGCAAAUCGAUCGUCAAAUUUGGGUAUAGGGGCGAAAGACUAAUCGAACCAU
rnacentral:rRNA from 1 species